rnacentral:lncRNA from 1 species
AAGAGUACUUCACAGACACCACCACACUCUUCAUAGUUGAGCUCAUCUUCAUCGGCUGGGCCGAGGGACGAAGAUGGGCUGAUAUCAUCAAGCCAGGCUGUGUUAACACUGACCCUAUCUUCCCUAACAACAAGCUCACCGGAACUGAUGUAGGGUAUCCCGGCGGCCUAUGGUUUGACCCUCUCGGAUGGGGAAGCGGUUCACCUGAGAAGAUCAAGGAGUUGAGAACAAAGGAGAUCAAGAAUGGAAGGUUGGCC